rnacentral:lncRNA from 1 species
UAUUGACAAAGUAAUCGGUGGUUCCCUGCAUAUGUAAUUGGAGGAAGGGAUGUUUUAUAAUAGUGAUAGUGGCAGGAGGCAGACAAAUUCCUAGGCAGAUCAGGGUGGGUCCCUGGUGAAAUCCAACUUUCAAGCCAAAGCCUGAAAAGCCUGAAAACCGGGCUGCCAGUUCCAGGUAGAAUCCACAACCGGAAGUGAGAACUUCCUGAUGCCUUUCAGCCAAUCAAAUGGUUCUUCUUUCAGAGCCCACCCAUGGACCAAUCAGCAUGCACGUCCUUCAUUCUGAGCAUAUAAAAACCCCUGGACUCGGCCACAGCUGUCGACUACCAGGCUGCGUUAGGAGCUACCGUCUUCAGCUUUUUCUCGCUGCUGAGAGCUGUUUUGUUACUCAGUAAAACUCUUCUCCACCGUGCUCACCCUUCAGUUGACCGUGCAACUUCAUUCUUCCUGGACAUAAACCCGGGACCCACAGAACAGCGGGUGCAAAAAGGGCUGUAACGCUUUCCUGGCCGGAUCGCCAAGCUGCAGGUAAGAUGUGCCUGCUUCACCUACUGGCGUGAAUGUAAACUUUCUGAGACCUUCC